rnacentral:rRNA from 1 species
UUAUUGGAGAGUUUGAUCCUGGCUCAGGACGAACGCUGGCGGCGUGCCUAAUACAUGCAAGUCGAGCGAGGGUCUUCGGACCCUAGCGGCGGACGGGUGAGUAACACGUAGGCAACCUGCCUCUCAGACUGGGAUAACAUAGGGAAACUUAUGCUAAUACCGGAUAGGUUUUUGGAUCGCAUGAUCCGAAAAGAAAAGGCGGCUUCGGCUGUCACUGGGAGAUGGGCCUGC